GCAAGCAUGACUUUCAUCACCAUCUUCAUCUGGACACUUUUGUGUUGUGUGAAAGAGUCCAGAGGUCAGGUGACUGUGACUCAGACUCCUGCAGUGAAAUCUGCUCUUCCAGGAGACACAGUCACUAUCAACUGUAAAACCAGCCCUGGAGUGUUCCUUGGUACUUCUCUAGACUGGUACCAACAGAAACCUGGGGAGGCUCCUAAACUCCUGAUUUAUGCUGCAAGCAACCGUUACUCUGGAGUUCCAGAUCGUUUCAGUGGCAGUGGAUCUGGGACUGACUUCACUCUGACCAUCACUAACAUCCAGACUGAAGAUGUAGGAGAUUAUUACUGUCAGAGUUACCAUGCUAUCAGUGGCAAAGCUGUGUUCACACAGUGA